rnacentral:lncRNA from 1 species
GGGGAGAUGAUUUGAAUGGAUUUGAGGGUAAUUUUUUUGUUGUUUUUUUGAGUGGAUUUGUGGGUAAUUGAGAGUGAAUUUGGAAAUAAAGUUUGUGAGAAUUAGUGUAGGAUUUGAUUGAUGUGACCGAUUUAAAAAAUUAGUUUAAUUGGUAGAAAUUAAAGAUUAAAAUAUCCCUAGUUAUUAAAGUAAUAUAAAAUAUUAUUUAUUAAUGUU